UUGGUUCUUGCCCUACUUUUUUUUCUCACCUUCAACCAUUUUUUCGACCAUUCCUACCGCUGAUGAAAUGGUUGAUUUCGCUCAUGUUUUGUAUCUUCAUCCAUCGGAUAUGCCUAGUCCCAUGCUUGUUUCUCAGUCGUUGAUUGGUUUGGACAAUUACAACGUUUGGAGUCACUCUAUGAAGAUUGUGCUAAUGGCUAAGAACAAGUUGGGGUUUAUGACGAUUCUUGUCAACGAGAUGUUUAUCCUGAGGUGUUACAAUUGCAAUGGGAUCGUUGUAAUGCGGUGGUGUUAACCUAGCUCCUUAAUGUCAUUAGCAAGGAGUUGUCAGCGAGUAUAGUUUUUGCGACUGGUUCUACGAGCAUCUGGAAGGAUUUGCAGAAAUGAUUUGAUAAGGUUGAUGGGUCUUGGGUCUAUUUUUGCACACAGAGAUUGCAACUCUUUCUCAGGGAGAAUCUACUGUUUCAGCCAUUGCCUUCGGUUACACAAGCUUAUUCGAUGAUUCUUCAAGAUGAGUCUCAAUGUCCUCAACUCUCUGUUCUUGCUGAUCCUAGCUCAACAGUUUUGUUCGCUAAUUAUGCUAGCAACUAUGAUCUCCUUCGUUUCACUGUUUCUUGUGAUUUUUGUAAGAUCAAGGGGCAUAAGAUGGAAUAAUGCUACCGUUUGUUUGGGUUCCCACCUGGUGCAAGUUCACAAAGAAGAAAGGAGUUGUUCCUAAUUCAAGUGUUUCUUUGGAAUCUGAGGACACCUCAAAAUCUCUUUGUGCUUCUCCUAUAGCGCCAACGUUUACCACAUACCAAUAUAAUCAAAUUUUACUCCUGUUAAAUAAAUCUCAUACUACUGAUUCAACUGUUAAUCUUGCAGGUAUUAUUCAUUCAAAUUCAUUUAAGUCUAAUGGUUUGCCUUCUUGGAUAAUUGACACAGGUUCCACUGACCAUAUUGUAUCUGAUUUCAAGAGCCUGAAUCAUCCGAAUUCCUAUGCUUCUCUUUCUCGAUUGAUCUCUCAACUGGUAAAAUGAAGGGGGUUGGUAGGGAAGCGCAUGUUUGUACUACUUUGAGCCCUCGCAUGGUGUAGGCCCUCCGUCUUCUCCAUCUUUGUUGUCGGGUAAUACUAAUUUGAUAUUUCCUUGAAUACUUCUUGUUUUCCUGUCAAUGCUAGUUCAUCUUUUAAGUGCCAUGCUCGUUUGGGGGAUGCUACAAUUUCAAAGCUUAAUAAAAUGAAUAUUGAUGAGUCUUUUCAUGUUCAACAUGAUUCUAUUCUUAAUGUUAUGUUUGUAGAUUAGCUAAACAAACACGUUUACCUUUCCCUUUUAGUACUUCUCGUUCUGAUUCUCCAUUUUAACACAUUCAUAUGACUUGUGGGGUCCAUAUAAGAUAUCCACACAUGGGGUCAUCGUUAUUUUCUUACUAUAGUUGAUGACCACACUAGGAUGACCUUGGUCUAUUUUCUAAAGCAUAAGGAUGAGAUUGUCACUUAUCUAAAGCAAUUAUUGGCUUUAGUU